UCUGCAAAGAGAGGAUUUCGAAACUGGAGUCUGCAAGCUGUUUCCGGCAUCAUGGAAACAGUUUUGCUGUGCUAACCUUGGCCCUGCCGUUCAGAUAACUGGAAGAGUCUUCCGGUUUCUCUGUAAACAACUCCCCCUCUUUGGACUUUAUUUGAUCCACCCCCUUUUGUGGCCAUGUGUACGUGAUGCCUUUAUCUAGGUGGAUCACCGGCCCAGCUUUUUGAUUUUUGCCGGUGUUUUGCAGUGUGUUUACAGUCAGAGGUGACCACAGGGACCAACUGGAAGGAUGGAGGAAAGAUGUUAACUAAGCCAAGGCUGUAGAAGAGAUCAUGCUGGGUCAGUGUGGGCCCUAAAUAAAGGAGAAAGUCCUUAUAAGAGACAGAAAAAGUCACACAGAGGCACAGAGAGAGAAGGCCAUGCGAAGAUGAAAGCAGAGACAGGAGCGACGCGUCCGCAGCCCAAGGAUGCCCAUGAUUGCCGGGUGCUCCUGGAAGCGAGCAGAGAGCCUGGGACAGAGACUCUCCCAGAGCCUCCAGAAGGAACCAACACUGCUGACACCCUAAUUUCAGACUUGUCUCCAAAGCUGCGACAAUAAAUCCCUGUUAUUUUAA